rnacentral:rRNA from 1 species
GACGAACGCUGGCGGCGUGCUUAACACAUGCAAGUCGAACGGUGAAGGGACUGGUUUUGCUGGUCCUGGAUGAGUGGCGAACGGGUGAGUAACACGUGGGUAACCUGCCCCCUUCUUCUGGAUAACCGCAUGAAAGUGUGGCUAAUACGGGAUAUUCUGGGUCUGUCGCAUGGUGGGCCUGGGAAAGAUUGCGCCUUUUUUGGUGUUUUUGGUGGGGGAUGGGCUCGCGGCCUAUCAGCUUGUUGGUGGGGUGAUGGCCUACCAAGGCGGUGACGGGUAGCCGGCCUGAGAGGGUGGACGGUCACACUGGGACUGAGACACGGCCCAGACUCCUACGGGAGGCAGCAGUGGGGAAUAUUGCACAAUGGGCGCAAGCCUGAUGCAGCGACGCCGCGUGAGGGAUGGAGGCCUUCGGGUUGUGAACCUCUUUCGCCAGUGAAGCAGGCCUGCCUCUUUUUGUGGGUGGGUUGACGGUAGCUGGAUAAGAAGCGCCGGCUAACUACGUG